GUGAAACUUCAAAGUCGACUUGUCAUAACUGUGCUGGUGGAGACACAUGUGCACGUUUGGCAAGUCGCAAAUCCACACACCUGUGCAUCUAUGACUCUGAGUGCCGCUUUGCAUGGCCUUGACCGGCCUGGCACUCGAGUACUUUCACACACUCUCGAAUGUAAUGGAAUGUCUUGUUGUGCAUAAUGUACAAAUGAAA
rnacentral:misc_RNA from 1 species